GACGAACCGAGCGAACGUUAUUCGGAAUCACUGGGCUUAAAGGGCGCGUAGGCGGGCCGCCAAGUCAGGGGUGAAAGCCCCCAGCUCAACUGGGGAAGUGCCCUUGAUACUGGCGGUCUCGAGGGGGAUAGGGGCGUGCGGAACUUCCGGUGGAGCGGUGAAAUGCGUAGAUAUCGGAAGGAACACCGGUGGCGAAAGCGGCGCGCUGGAUCCCUUCUGACGCUGAGGCGCGAAAGCCAGGGGAGCGAACGGG
rnacentral:rRNA from 1 species